CGACGCCGCACGCGAAAACACAGAAGAUGAUGAUGAAGAUGAAGAAGUUUUGCGAUUAAUGGCCGACCCUAUGAGCUUGGCAACAGCUUGACGACCCAUCGUUUUGCUCCGAUUUGGUUCGAUUUUCGGCGCAGCCGCCUUCUUCAGAGUAUCACACUUGGAAUUAUAUUUUCUUUCCUUCUCACUCGCCUCCUCUCCCGCUCUCUCUUCCCUUUCCCUUUUACUUUUCUUUCUUUUCUUUUUCCCUCUUCCCUGCCUUACAUUGCGUCCUUCAAUUCUCCUUUUCUGGUUUUUCUCACAGGUUUGGGUUUAGAAAUGGGCGUUCCGUUAUUACGAUUUUGGGCUCUGUUUUCUGGGCCUUUCUGUAGCUAAUUGGGCCUUGUAUUUUAGGCCCAAUCAAUGUUGUAAUACAGUGACUCUCUUUAAAGCAUCUUGUAUUAUUAACAAAA
rnacentral:lncRNA from 1 species